rnacentral:rRNA from 1 species
GUCUGCGCGCGGCAUGGUCGUCCUCCGGAGCACCAAAGGCGCAGAAAACAUAACUUGUGCGCUCACGCGUACCCUAUGCGGGAUUACGGGCGCGGCUCUCUGCUCGUCCCUCCAUCCCCGGGUGUUGUACCCGGCAUGCGGGCCGCCGGGACCCGGGGCUUCACCGCCUCGACCCGGCACCGUGCCACAACAUACCGCGAGUGUGCAGGAUGUGACCCGAAAGAUGGUGAACUAUGCCUGAUCAGGUUGAAGUCAGGGGAAACCCUGAUGGAGGACCGAAGCAGUUCUGACGUGCAAAUCGAUUGUCAGAAUUGGGCAUAGGGGCGAAAGACCAAUCGAACCAUCUAGUAGCUGUUUCCCUUCCGAA